AUUGAACGCUGGCGGCAGGCCUAACACAUGCAAGUCGAGCGGAUGAAGGGAGCUUGCUCCUGGAUUCAGCGGCGGACGGGUGAGUAAUGCCUAGGAAUCUGCCUGGUAGUGGGGGAUAACGUCCGGAAACGGGCGCUAAUACCGCAUACGUCCUGAGGGUGAAAGUGGGGGAUCUUCGGACCUCACGCUAUCAGAUGAGCCUAGGUCGGAUUAGCUAGUUGGUGGGGUAAAGGCCUACCAAGGCGACGAUCCGUAACUGGUCUGAGAGGAUGAUCAGUCACACUGGAACUGAGACACGGUCCAGACUCCUACGGGAGGCAGCAGUGGGGAAUAUUGGACAAUGGGCGAAAGCCUGAUCCAGCCAUGCCGCGUGUGUGAAGAAGGUCUUCGGAUUGUAAAGCACUUUGAGUUGGGAAGAAGGACAGUAAGUUAAUACCUUGCUGUUUUGACGUUACCAACAGAAUAAGCACCGGCUAACUUCGUG
rnacentral:rRNA from 1 species